AUGCUUUUACUCUUUGGGGAGUUUAACAAUUUUGAGAACAACCGUCUUAUUAGUCGUGGAAAAAGACACAGCAUGAAGACCCAUAGAAGGCAAAUUCCACUGUUUGCCGAGAGACGGAUUUAUAACCAUUGGCUAUGCAUCAAAACCUGGCUUCAUUUUUUUCCUUCUGUCGUUAAUGUAGACAGGGAGCCAGAGAAAAGGUUCUGCAAAGAGGAUGGGGUGAAGAAACAACGUUUCAUUUCAGAAGAGAUCCUGGAUUGGUCUGGAAUCUGCGGGGCCCAGGAAGAGAACACAGGACACUGACCUAAUUUUUUGUCUGCCCCAAAUAUUGCCACAAAAAUAGACAUGGGCAGGAGCAGAAGAGCCAGCUAUGUCCUUGUUAUUUUCACAGUUUGGUCCAGGCCCAGACUGUCCACGAAAGAAAUAAAGUUCCUGUCUUCCUUGAAGAAUCUUUAUGGGUCAACGGCCGGGUUUUAAGGGUAAUCUCCAUUUCCCUCUAGACUGGAUUUUGCUUGAAAUUACCACUUAGAAUUUGACUUUCCACACUGGGCCACGGGAUUUCAGAAAACUGAUAUGGAUAAGCUCAGAGAUGUGAAAUGUCUUUGGGGACACAUUUUUUUAAAAAAGGGUACAAGUGGCCCUCCAGAGCCAAAGUGUGCUGCAUGGAAAGAUGCAAGCAGCCCCUGAUCAAAAAUAGUUCAUAAAAAAAAAAAAAUCCUUGCAUCUCCACUGAACACAGUCCUUUUUUAUAGUCAUUAUUCCCUCAAUAACACGAUGUAGCAACUAUUUCCAUAGCAUUUACAUUGCAUUACGGAUUAUGAAUAAUCUGCGGAUGAUUGGUAGCAUAUGGAAGGAUAUAAGUAGGCAGAUCUGAAAUGCUACUACAUUUUACGUAACAGACUCUAGGGUUUAUGGAUUUCGAUAUAUGAGGAGCCUCCUGGAUCCAGAUCCCCCUGGAUCCUGAAAGGUUCUUAUGUAACUGUCUCGUUACCUUUUCUAUUGAGGUUAUUAGAUUUCUUUCUGAACCAUUACCAGUGGAAAUAUCUGACCCUGAUUUGGUGGUGCGUGCCUGUAUUCAUAGCACACGGGAUGGCUGAGGCAGGAGGACUGCAAGUCUGGCCCAGCCUGGGCAAAUUAGUGACUCAGUCAGACCCUCUCUGAAAAGAAAAAUAUAAUCAAAGGACUAAGGUUGUGGCUCAGUGCAAAGGCCCCGUGUUCCCAUCCCUAGAACCGCAAAGGAAUACAGAACAUAACAACAAGAAUAACAAAAACUUAACAACAAGGAUGGAAAAAACGAAAGGCGAGGCCCCGUGAUCAUUUUUGAACAUGAAAUACUCAUGUUGAAGGAAGAAGAAGUUAUGAAUAAUCCUGCUGAAGAUCUUUUAUUUUUAACGGCUUGUAAUAAAAAGACAAAGAUAAUGAGAAGGUGGACUCAUAAAAACGGAGAAAAAACGAACAGAGUUUUAAAAAAAUUUUUAUUAAGAACAAAGAACUGUCAUGUAAAGGUACAUGAUCCCGAUGAUGAAUGUAACUGUACUGCACCUAAACAGUCCCAGUUAAACUCAAUAAAAAUCAAAGAAAAAAACUAAGUUUAACAUUUCUAAAAAGAAAAAUUUAUUUUCAUAUAACACGAGUAUAUAUUCAUAAAGAAAUAUAAAAGCC
ensembl:lincRNA